ACGUAGGGAGCAAGCGUUAUCCGGAUUUACUGGGUGUAAAGGGCGCGCAGGCGGGCCGGUAAGUUGGAAGUGAAAUCUAUGGGCUUAACCCAUAAACUGCUUUCAAAACUGCUGGUCUUGAGUGAUGGAGAGGCAGGCGGAAUUCCGUGUGUAGCGGUGAAAUGCGUAGAUAUACGGAGGAACACCAGUGGCGAAGGCGGCCUGCUGGACAUUAACUGACGCUGAGGCGCGAAAGCGUGGGGAGCAAACAG
rnacentral:rRNA from 1 species